UGUAGACCAAGCACCCAGCUAUUAUUCUUGGAGAAUAUGGUGAUGUCACCCAAAUCCUCAACAGAUUAAGAAUGGGUUCUGUCUAGCCAUGGAAAUUUGGUUUCAGAUCUUUUGUGAACGGAAUCAAGAUACUGGGGAGAGAACCUUGAAACAGGCAGACCAAGGUUAGUCUUGGGAUGUACUCCCUUGGAGCCCAGAAGUCAUGUUUUUGAAGCCCAAUGAGUCAUAUGGAGAAGCCCCCUGUUAGAGCACCGAAGCCCUAGCUGACCACCCCAGCAAAGCUCCCAGGCCACAGACAGACCAACAUGCCAACCACGUGAGGGAGGCUUCUUGGAACUGGGUCCUCCAGCCCUUGUGAGUCACCCCAUCUAACGCCCAUGGAACAGAGAGGCACUGUCUUCACUGAGCCCAA